rfam:Oryza glumipatula chromosome 9, whole genome shotgun sequence.
AUAAAGAUAAGCCCUGUAUUUCCGUGUCUAAUGUUUGACUGUCUGUUUUAUAUAAAUUUUUUUUACAAUUAGUAUUUUCAUUGUUGUUAGAUGAUAAAACAUAAUUAAUACUUUAUGCGUGACUUGUCUUUUCAAUUUUUUUUUCAUGAUUUUUUUAAAUAAGAUGGAUGGUUAAAUGUUGAACACGGAAACUCAAGGUUUAUCUUUUU